rnacentral:rRNA from 1 species
UGAGUAACCUGCCCCAGACUCUGGAAUAACCCCGGGAAACCGGAGCUAAUACCGGAUACGAGGCGAAGCUGCAUGGCUAUCGUCUGGAAAGUUUUUCGGUCUGGGAUGGACUCGCGGCCUAUCAGCUUGUUGGUGAGGUAAUGGCUCACCAAGGCGACGACGGGUAGCCGGCCUGAGAGGGUGACCGGCCACACUGGGACUGAGACACGGCCCAGACUCCUACGGGAGGCAG